AUUGAACGCUGGCGGCAUGCCUUACACAUGCAAGUCGAACGGCAGCACGGGUGCUUGCACCUGGUGGCGAGUGGCGGACGGGUGAGUAAUAUAUCGGAACGUACCUUAUUGUGGGGGAUAACGCAGCGAAAGCUGUGCUAAUACCGCAUAAUCCCUAAGGGGGAAAGCGGGGGACCGUAAGGCCUCGCGCAAUUAGAGCGGCCGAUACCUGAUUAGCUAGUUGGUGAGGUAAAGGCUCACCAAGGCAACGAUCAGUAGCUGGUCUGAGAGGACGAUCAGCCACACUGGGACUGAGACACGGCCCAGACUCCUACGGGAGGCAGCAGUGGGGAAUUUUGGACAAUGGGGGCAACCCUGAUCCAGCAAUGCCGCGUGAGUGAAGAAGGCCUUCGGGUUGUAAAGCUCUUUUGUCAGGGAAGAAGCAGCAGCUCUAACACAGUUUGCGAAUGACGGUACCUGAAGAAUAAGCACCGGCUAACUACGUGCCAGCAGCCGCCGUAA
rnacentral:rRNA from 1 species